CCUCUGCUGUAGGAGGACCAAAUAUUAAGGAAGAUAGUGAAACCCGCCAAACAUACGGAAUUCUUUCUCCGCCCAUUCUCUCCCGGAAGUAUUUCGGUACGUUCUUAAAGGAAUCCCAUGGUUCCAACCUUAAGCCGCUUCCCUUCAGUUCCGACUGUACCUUCCCAAUCGCCCAAGGCGCGGAGACAAGCAGAAAGAACUAGGAUCCAACAGGGGGAACCUCUUUGCUUUCAGAGGCGGGACCAAGGCUAGCUGAAGACCAAUGAGAAACCGAGGAAAGACAUACAGGACCUGUAGCCUAUAGGAAAAAAGGGGUGGAACUUGAAGCGCGCGCAAUCAUACUGCGCAUGACUGGCAAAGAAAGUUUUAGAGUUCUGGAACAAUCUGGAAGAAUCGAUCCUCGUAUUGAACCCCAACAUCUCCGUAGUACGCCUAUGAUAACUCACUAUUUGAAUUUGCUCACUAUUUGAAUUUGCACUAUCCAGUGGAAAAGGCUCAUCCGGUUCUCCCAUUCUUAUAGACCUAAAAUGAAGAUUAGUCGACCGCGCCAUUCACCACCUUCCACAGCCGAUUCGCUAACAGUUAAAAUAUAUUGACUGGUGACAACGAGCAAGUUCUAACUGCCGCUUUUCUCUGACUGCCUUCUCCGCUCCGAACUCCUCUCCAACGGCUCUUUUGGACGUGUCUCCUACUUAAAGCCGCAGUACUCUUACGUGAUGUGGAUCGUUACUUGUAUGCAAAUGAGUCUCAACGACACAUCUCGAGCCCCCACCUCCGUCCACUCUGAGCUCCGAUUCCACAUAUGGCUAUGAACACCACAAGGCACUACAGGCUUCUCAAACUUGUAGAGUCCAGAAUUUAAAUUCAUUAUUUCCUCUGUACUAACAAUCUUAUGUAUUUUUUCUGUCAUUUAUGCUUGUAUCUUGGGAUAUUUUUGAUUCCCCCUCUC